AGUGAACGCUGGCGGCGUGCUUAACACAUGCAAGUCGAACGGUAACAGUGACUUCGGUCAGCUGACGAGUGGCGCACGGGUGAGUAAUAUAUAGUUAAUGUGCCUCGAAGACCGGGAUAGCCAUUGGAAACGAUGAUUAAUACUGGAUACUCCUUCUAAUCAUAAGAUUAGUCGGUAAACGUUUUUUCGCUUUGAGAUCAGACUAUAUCCCAUCAGUUAGUUGGUAGUGUAAGAGACUACCAAGGCAAUGACGGGUAGCGGGUUUGAGAGGAUGAUCCGCCACACUGGUACUGAGACACGGACCAGACUCCUACGGGAGGCAGCAGUGAGGAAUAUUGCACAAUGGGGGAAACCCUGAUGCAGCAACGCCGCGUGGAGGAUGACGCAUUUCGGUGUGUAAACUCCUUUUAUAUGUCAAGAAAAUGACGGUAGCAUAUGAAUAAGCACCGGCUAACUCCGUGCCAGCAGCCGCGGUAAUACGGAGGGUGCAAGCGUUACUCGGAAUCACUGGGCGUAAAGAGAAUGUAGGCGGAUAGAAAAGUUAGAAGUGAAAUCCUAUGGCUCAACCAUAGAACUGCUUCUAAAACUCUUUAUCUAGAAUAUGGGAGAGGUAGAUGGAAUUUCUGGUGUAGGGGUAAAAUCCGUAGAGAUCAGAAGAAUACCAAUUGCGAAGGCGAUCUACUGGAACAUUAUUGACGCUAAGAUUCGAAAGCGUGGGGAGCAAACAGGAUUAGAUACCCUGGUAGUCCACGCCCUAAACGAUGCACAUUAGUUGUUGUGAGGCUAGACCUUGCAGUAAUGCAGUUAACACAUUAAAUGUGCCGCCUGGGGAGUACGGUCGCAAGAUUAAAACUCAAAGGAAUAGACGGGGACCCGCACAAGCGGUGGAGCAUGUGGUUUAAUUCGACGAUACGCGAAGAACCUUACCUGGCCUUGACAUAGUUAGAACCUAAUAGAGAUAUAUGGGUGCCAGUUUACUGGAGCUAGCAUACAGGUGCUGCACGGCUGUCGUCAGCUCGUGUCGUGAGAUGUUAGGUUAAGUCCUGCAACGAGCGCAACCCUCGUUCUUAGUUAAUAACGGUUCGGCCGAUGACUCUAAGAAGACUGCCUGGGCAACCAGGAGGAAGGUGAGGACGACGUCAAGUCAUCAUGGCCCUUACGGCCAGGGCUACACACGUGCUACAAUGGGAUAUACAAAGAGCCGCAAUACCGCGAGGUGGAGCAAAUCUCAUAAAAUAUCUCCCAGUUCGGAUAGCUCUCUGCAACUCGAGAGCUUGAAGUUGGAAUCGCUAGUAAUCGUAGAUCAGCAAUGCUACGGUGAAUACGUUCCCGGGUCUUGUACUCACCGCCCGUCACACCAUGGGAGUUGAAUUCAUUCAAAGCGGGGAUGGUAAAAUACCUACCCUCUACAGUGGAUUUAGUAACUAGGGUGAAGUCGUAACAAGGUAGCCG
rnacentral:rRNA from 1 species